rnacentral:rRNA from 1 species
GACGAACGCUGGCGGCGUGCUUAAUACAUGCAAGUCUAACGAGAAAGUUCCCUUCGGGGAGCAAGUACAGUGGCGGACUGGUGAGUAACACGUAGGCAACUUGCCUGGGAGUGGGGGAUAACCCUGCUAACGCGGGGCUAAUACCGCAUGACGCAGCGGAUCCGCAUGGAUCUGUUGUUAAAGCGGGGGCUCUUACGGGACCUCGUACUUCCAGAUAGGCCUGCGCUCCAUUAGCUAGUUGGUGAGGUAAUGGCCCACCAAGGCGACGAUGGAUAGCCGACCUGAGAGGGUGAACGGCCACACUGGGACUGAGAUACUGCCCAGACUCCUACGGGAGGCAG